AGAGGCGUGAAUGGCAGGACUUGAGCCACCUUUCAGCGGAAUCAUAAUCCGCGCGUCGGGGGUUCAAGUCCCUCCUCCGCUACCA
rnacentral:tRNA from 1 species